rnacentral:rRNA from 1 species
UACGUAGGGGGCAAGCGUUGUCCGGAAUCAUUGGGCGUAAAGAGCGUGUAGGCGGCUUGGUAAGUCCGCUGUGAAAGUCCAGGGCUCAACCCUGGAAAGCCGGUGGAAACUGUCAAGCUUGAGUCCGGAAGAGGCGAGUGGAAUUCCUGGUGUAGCGGUGAAAUGCGCAGAUAUCAGGAGGAACACCAAUGGCGAAGGCAGGUCUCUGGGCCGAUACUGACGCUGAGGAGCGAAAGCGUGGGGAGCGAACAGG